rnacentral:rRNA from 1 species
GUACGCUGGCGGCACGCCUAACACAUGCAAGUCGAACGAAGUAGCAAUACUUAGUGGCAGACGGGUGAGUAACAUGUGGGUAUCUACCCUUUGGCCUGGAAUAACACGAGGAAACUUGUGCUAAUACCGGAUAAGUCUUUACGGAGAAAGCUUUAUGCACCAUUGGAUGAGCCCGCACUUGAUUAGUUUGUUGGUAGGGUAAUGGCCUACCAAGACUAUGAUCAAUAGCUGAUUUGAGAGGAUGAUCAGCCACAUUGGGACUGAGACACGGCCCAAACUCCUACGGGAGGCAGCAGUGGGGAAUCUUGCACAAUGGAGGAAACUCUGAUGCAGCGAUGCCGCGUGAGUGAAGAAGGCCUUUGGGUUGUAAAGCUCUUUCGUCGGGGAAGAAAAUGACUGUACCCGAAUAAGAAGGUCCGGCUAACUUCGUGCCAGCAGCCGCGGUAAUACGAAGGGACCUAGCGUAGUUCGGAAUUACUGGGCUUAAAGAGCUCGUAGGUGGUUAAAAAAGUUGAUGGUGAAAUCCCAAGGCUCAACCUUGGAACUGCCAUCAAAACUUUUUAGCUAGAGUGUGAUAGAGGUAAGUGGAAUUUCUAGUGUAGAGGUGAAAUUCGUAGAUAUUAGAAAGAACACCAAAUGCGAAGGCGACUUACUGGGUCACUACUGACACUGAGGAGCGAAAGCAUGGGUAGCGAAGAGGAUUAGAUACCCUCGUAGUCCAUGCCGUAAACGAUGUGUGCUAGACGUUGGAAAUAUAUUUUCAGUGUCGCAG